AUUGAACGCUGGCGGAAUGCUUUACACAUGCAAGUCGAACGGCAGCACGGACUUCGGUCUGGUGGCGAGUGGCGAACGGGUGAGUAAUGUAUCGGAACGUGCCCAGUCGUGGGGGAUAACGUAGUGAAAAUUACGCUAAUACCGCAUACGAUCUAUGGAUGAAAGCGGGGGAUCGCAAGACCUCGCGCGAUUGGAGCGGCCGAUAUCAGAUUAGGUAGUUGGUGGGGUAAAGGCCCACCAAGCCAACGAUCUGUAGCUGGUAUGAGCGGACGACCAGGCACACUGGGACUGAGACACGGUCCAGACUCCUAAGGGAGGAAGCAGGGGGGAAGUUUGGACAAUGGGCGAAAGCCUGCUCCAGCCAUUCCGCGUGCAGGAUGAAGGCCCUCGGGUUGUAAACUGCUUUUGUACAGAACGAAAAGGUUUCUACUAAUACUAGGAGCUCAUGACGGUACUGUAAGAAUAAGCGCCGGCUAACUACGUGCCAGCCGCCGCCGUAA
rnacentral:rRNA from 1 species